rnacentral:rRNA from 1 species
CCUACGGGAGGCAGCAGUGGGGGAUAUUGCACAAUGGGGGGAACCCUGAUGCAGCGACGCCGCGUGGGUGAAGAAGCGCCUCGGCGCGUAAAGCCCUGUCAGCAGGGAAGAAAAUGAUGGUACCUGAAGAAGAAGCCACGGCUAACUACGGGCCAGCAGCCGCCGUAAUACGUAGGGGGUAAGCGUUAUGCGGAUUUACUGGUGGUAAAGGGGGCGGAGACGGGUAUGCAAGCCAGGAGUGAAAGCCCGGGGCCCAACCCGGGGACUGCUCUUUGUACUGGGUAGUUGGAGUGCAGGAGAGGGAGGCGGAAUUCCUGGUGUAGCGGUGAAAUGCGUAGAGAUCAGGAGGAACACCGGUGGCGAAGGCGGCCUGCUGGACUGAAACUGACGUUCAGGCGCGAAAGCGUGGGGAGCAAACAGGAUUAGAUACCCGUGUAGUC